UUUAAAUUAAGCUCUGCAUUUCUCUUUAUAGAUUGCCAACAGCUGCAUGGAGCUCAUUUGUGACAUGGCCUGGUGGAAGAAGAAGGAUGUGUAUGCACCGGAUGCCUAUGUCGUUGCCACUUGGCAUGCACCAAGUUUUCCAGGACACUUUUCUUAAUUUACAGGCUGAUGCAGCAUCAAAAGAUCUCCUGAUUUUUCCUGUGUGGAAACCAGGACACUGGUUCCUCUGUAGCACCAUGGCAAGAAUCGAUGAAGCAGUAUGCUGGAUACGGGUCAACAUGUCUCUUUUCCGUGGACAUGUUGAACUGCCCAGCAUAUUGUCCAUGACAGCAGAGGAU